UCCAGGAGUCAGAACAUCAGCUUUGGUACUCGAUCACCUAUGAUGUGAUGCCCAAUCCCCUGCAUUCACAUGCAGGUCAUCUUUUUGUCCUUUCUUGGUAGAGGCAUCUACUCCUUGCUUGGCAUCCGGCGGUUGUUGUUCCAUAGCAAUGGUGUUUCCAAUUGUCUUAAAUUCUCCUCCCUCUGUUUCCUCAAUGCCAAGCUUUGCAUUCUUCAACCCUAGUUCUAUGGUUGCGAAAGUUAGUUGUACAUUGGAGUUCUCAGCCAGCAUAGAUGCAGUUCAUCGAGGUACUUUGAGUUUCAUAUUCUACCUCCCUGCACUAGUCAUUGAAAUCUCACUUCAUAUCAGAUCAUAUUGAUGCAUUGUGAUGCAGAGAUGAGCUCAGGCAAGUUGCUCUUAUUGUUGGAUUCCCUUUCAUUUAGGCUUGAAGCUAAAAAAAUGAUUAACAGAUCUAGACUAGCAGAAGCUAAAGGAGCCGGGAUGACAACCAGAUUUAGGAUAUCAGGCAUCCACAGCAAAAGGAAACUGCACAAUUGGACUUGGUGAGUGCAACCAACUAGAUAUCAUGGUGAAUGAAUCAACUUCGCCUGUCAUCAUGCACGCAUCGUACUACUUGUCCACCAUCUUAUCUUGUUUGUUGACCUGACAGUGUAUUGUAUCAUGUCGCUAAUUCCUCAUGAUACUUGGUGCCACUUUUGAUGUUAGUUUCAAGUGUGAUGGUAAUUUGGCUUUUACGGGCAGGUGGGAAGAGUAAAAAAGGAUUCGGAUCCUCUCCUUGGCUACCCUUCCUCCUUUGCUGUCCUUGACUUCUGAUUUCAUCCAUUGACAUGCUCAUGUCGAGUUUACAAGUCAAUGUAUUUUAUCACGUUCCCAGUUGGCUGAUUGCUGAUGCUUGGUGACACUUUUCACUAGCUUUGGGCAGGUGGUGUGAUGAUUGAUGCCUUCCAACCGAUAUGGGGACUUUUUUGUUAUUUAGUGCCGGUAGGUUGGAGGAGUGCCCAGUUAUGGCUAAUGAGGUAUGUACAGAAUAAACUGUUCAGGGAUUUAUCAUUGUUGAAUCACACAUUCGUUGCCUAGCAAGCAAGGAAUUUGGUACACAAGACAACACUACUGUAAUGAUUCAUAAAAUUCUCAAGGCAAGGUAAGAGCAUAAUUGAUUUGGGGAUGUGAGGUGCUUCUUCAAAGCCUCAGACGUUGUAUUAUGUUCUGUGAUUUUAAAGCGGAAAAAAUUAAGCUGACUUCAUGAGGUUCAUGGAACAUGCAAAAAUAUGAGUUUGAUUUUCUCAGAGAAGGAAAUAGAGCCAGCUUAAAUAUGUGGCUUGCAGGAAAUGGCUCUCAAGCCUUUGUUCACUUUUCAAGCAAGAAAGAAGCUCUACAUAUGAAGAAGUUCAAAAAGUGAACAAACAUCCAGAAAAGCAUGCACAGGACUAUACUUGUAGACUAUAAUUGUAAUUGGAUGGUUGUAUUGUGCAUGGAAAAUUUUUGCGGUAUUUAGAAUUAUCCUCUUAUUAACUUCUCAUUUCAAAUACAA